ACACACACACACACGAGGUCAACAAAUAUAAAUUUAUUCAUUUCUUGUUUUCGCUCUUUAGUUUCUUAACAUAAAGCACCGUACAUUGCGAAAUUCACAAGGAGACAAGAAGCCACACUCAAAUCAGAUUUUGCUUAACUUGUUCAAAGAUGGCAGAGAAGACAUCCAUUUGAUCCUGAGGAAGCGCCAAGCCAAUCUCAACUCCUCCUCCCCCAUCUCUACAUUCACAAAGAUGGAAACUGCCUGAAGCAUAAAUAUGGGGAACCUCUGUCUUUUUGGGCCUCCCCCACCCAAAAUCUGUCUCGUAAGCACGCAACUUAGGUGACCCAGCAACAGUAACCAGCCUGCCUUGUUCAGACACUUCUUUCCACUUUGAUAUCCAUUUCUCAGCCCCCACAAAACCCCACUCUCCAAUUCCUUGACCUUCUUACCAAUUUCUCUAGCUGCCAUGAUGACCCCAUUUUCUCCAAGUAACUCACUCUUCUUUGCAGGGACAUAACAUACUGCUAGACAGUUUCCAAAAUAUGUUGCCGGUAGUUUAACUUCAGGACGGUGUCUACAAUCUGCCGGAAAAACGAAGUAGUAAACCUUGUCAUUAUCAAGUAAAUCACUUGCAUCCUUCUCUUGUGACUUGAUCAUAUUAACCCAUGUAAAGGCACAUGCUACCACAAAUGUUGAUACAUGCACUUGCCCUGGAUAAUUUUCCAUGCAUUUAAUGGACACCAGAUCUUUCAGCCUCUCCAUGUCGGUUUGACCUAUCGUAAAUGUGACGCCAACCUUGUCUCUAAGUUGAUCAUCGUAGGCUGAUCCCAAAUCGUAAUCCCAAGAUGAAGCCCAAUUCCACCAGUCCUUUGUAAAAAUUGACUCAAGCCCCAUUGGGUCUUUGAUCCCCGAUCUGUCAUGAGACGGCAGCAUUGACUUUUCAAGGCAAGCGAUGUCUUCUCUGGACCUAAAAAUGGACGCCCAGGAUUUCAUGAAAUGGCUAAAAGCCAUCCCAUCAGCUACCACGUGGCAAAACUUGGCACCGAUGCAGAUACCUGAAUUCGGAAACACAGCUACUUGCAAGGCAAGAAGUGGCACUACACGUGUGUCAUCUGAUGUCACACGUGUGGGAGGCCACUUAGGGACAAAACAUUGCAGUUCUCUAAGAUCGACUCCGGCAUGGUCUCCGAUGAGCUGGUCAAAAUCCAGCAUUGACUCAACAACAGUGAACGGGAUCGAGUCGCCAUCUUUGAAGAGGAUAUAGGGUUUAUGGGGUGAUGGUGGGCACAUAAGAUUGGAGGCUAGAGGGAAAAAGUGUUGAAGAGUGAGGGAAAGAGAGUUUUUAAGAAUAGGAAGGAUGUUGUUCGUCAAGUAAAGAGUAGGGUAAGGGAAUUCAUAGAAGAAAAGGCGUUCCAUGGGACGGCAAAGAAGCCAUGGAUAGUCGAAGACAGUGAGAGGGAGAGAGGUGGUGGGUACUGAGCCUAGUGGUGGAGAGACUCGGAAAUGAUCAAUGACUUUUACAGGAUGAGAAUGAGCCAUUUUUUGCGAAGAGGAAAGAGAUGAGAUACUGACGAUGGAUUGACAUCCUUCUAACAUCGCCUCGUACAAUCUAGUCGCUCUACUAAUUUCAUAGUUGAUUGAGUCCCUAUACUAUACUAAUUUGCUUAAUAUAGUCCCUCCACUGUUAAAACCAUCGAGGAAAAAUAGUAGCCCUCAUAGUUGCUUAACAGAUGUCCUUUGGCUUCAUUUUAAUACACUAUCAUUAGUCAAUUAUUUCAUCCCAUGACAAGGUUCAUUUAUUCAACUGUUGAUGACUAACAGUAGUUUGAUGGCUUAUUAAUUAUUUUCUGAUUUGUAUUUUUAAUAAUUUUAAUGCCUUCAAGUAAAAACAUUAAAAAUUUUAUUUAAUACAUUUUAAAUAAAAAAAUAUUUUCAAAAAAAUUUCCUUUAUUAUAAUAUCAAACACAGACUUCCCACAGUCCGCAGCAGCAAUUCGUUAUUUCCAUUCUUUGGUCCAAAUUAUCCCAACAAGCUUAGCAAUCUCCUGAAUUUUCUAUGCGUCCAAAAAAAAAAUUAUAAAGAGCACGGAAAAAAUUAUAAAGUUUUGAUGAAUGAGAUGAUCAAGGAAAUUUCUCCGUGCAAGAAUGGGAUUUGAAUUGCUUUGAAUUUCCUGGCUGUACGUGCACACAGCUGAAAAAGUUCUGUAAUAUCUGCUUUGAAUAAAAGAAAAGAAGAAAACUUCAAGAAAGAUGGAGUUGAGGAAAUUAUAAGGUUUUUAUUUUUUAAAAUUUCUUUCAAAUUAAGCUUAACUCCAAAUAUUUUAAAUAUGUUCAUGAACUUCAUUAUUCAUGUAAAAUUAAAUCCGCUUCUAUAAAUUGGCCUAGAAAGCAAGGUUUUAAUUUUUUGUCUCUCUAAACCCACACCACUUGUAAAGACACAGUACAUCUCUUCUCUCCGAGGAAAGCAUCUUUUGUCUCUGCAAGAUACUAUUUAUUUGCCGCCUUUGCUCAAUAUUAAAUGGGCAACUCUCUUCUACCCAAUACAACUAAAGUAAAUAAGAAUUCUGAAGACAAGCACAAUGAACGUACAGAGCAAACGAAGAACUUUAUGUUUCAGAUCAUCCAUUUGUGUUUCUGGCCACCAAAAUGGAUGUUGAUAUGGUGAUGCAAUAGAACUUCUGGGCAUGUCUGUUCUUCAUGGAAUAUGGAUCAAGUCCAAUUUACCAGCAGAUCUUUCAACACUCAAGCACCCAGGUUAGCCCGUGUUGUUUUCAGUUUGAGCCCAAUGAAUGGGUUCUGUGGAGCCAUUUUUAUGUAUGGGAGCCCACUUUAACAAAAUAAUUUUAAAGUACAUAUAAUCUGAUGAUAACCCAAUCAGGAUAAACUAAAGCUAAUUGAGAUUUGAGACCCAUAAACUUUAUUCAAAAAAAUAAAAUAUAAAAACCAAGGUAAAAUCAAGCUUUAAAAAAUAUUUAAUUUUGUUAUGUUCAGCUUAUUUUGAUGGGAUAUAACAAAUUCAUUCAGGAUAAUUAGCUCAAUUUGUUUUAUAUAUUUUAUGUUAAUCUUUUAAUGUGUCUUAACAUAUUUGAUUUCUCUCAAUCUAUCCUUAUACUUUAAAUUAUUCUUCAUUUUAUGUUCAAUUUUCCAUUAUUUUUUUUUAAUACCAAUCUCUUCCGGUUUGACAUCCACCCCCCCCCUCCCAAAAAAUAAAAAAUAAAAAUUAAACAACCAUACUAUUUCAAUUCCAUAACUUUGUUACCAAUUGUUUUAGUUUUUAGAUAACUGGUUGCACUGUGUCCCGAAUCUAAUCAAAUUUUUUUUAAUAUAUAAAAAUAUUAAAGUUAUGAGAUUUUUUUUAACAAUUUCAUUAGAAUUGACCAACAACUUAACAUUGACAUCUUUUCACUUGAUUUUUUAUUUAACCCGUGCUUUAAAUUAUAUCAUGUAGAAAUUAUUCUGACAUGAUUCAUUCAACUCGGUGAGUUUGAAAAAAACAUGAAAAUCUAGUAAAAAUAUAGUUUAGCUUAAAAAAAAUAUAAUAUAUAUAUUAAGACAGUGAUACAUUAGAUCGAUCCAGGAAUCAUAGUUUAACCUACCAAAGUCGUGGCAUAAGUCAUGAAUUUCACUGGGUUUAAUAAUAUUUUUUAUUUUUUUUAUUUAAUUAUAUGAAAACAAAAAUAAAUGUUUAGACACAAAUCUAAUGUCGGGAUGUUUUUUUGAGACUAUAAUAAUUUCAUAAAAAAUCAAAUUGAAACAAAAUGAAGACUAAUUAAAAAUAAACUACAUGUUGAUGGAUAGAAUAAUUUUUUUUAAAAAAUAAAAAUUCAAUAUUAAAUGAUAAAAUUAAAAAAAAAACCAAAGCUUACCUCAUAAUGUUGACUUUAUAGUUUGACUCAAUUUCUUAUUAUGGGUCUCAUAAUGUUGGAAGAGCAUCUUGACGUUGGAUUUGUGCUUGAUUUUGUAAAAAAUGGUUUGGAUUUUUUGUUUUACAAAUGAUUUAAAAUAGAGGGUCUAAAUUAAAAUUAAGGAAACAAAUACAACCCUUUUCGAAUUCAAGCACAGAAAUCAAGGCACGAAAACAAAGGAAAAAUAAAUAGAUCACAAAAAGACAUACCAAUAAUACAUCAUUGUCAAGCGUCACUUUUAGAACAAAUCUUUCUUGAGAUGAUUCUAACAAUAUCAAAAAACACUUUUAUCGGUGCUUGAAAGUAGCCGCACGAGCCUCUCCAAUGUGACAUACUUCCUCAAAUGUUGGUGCUUGUGUUACACACGCUAGAUUUUUUUUCCAUCUUCUUUCAAUUUGGUCCUAGAUUGUUUACUAACUUUUCAAUUCAAUCUUGAAAUUCAUCCCAAUCAAGCUUUUCUCUUUUAAUUUGGUCCCUGAUUGUCCAUUAACUCUUGAAUUCAAUUACGAAUUUCAUCUUAAAUGAGCCUACUGAAGGCAUUACCCGGGAGAGAAGAAGGGAAGAGAAAAGAAAUAAACAAAAUCGAAUAAUUAGUCCCACCGAGGAGAGAAAGCAUAUUGUCAUGCCUAGAAACAAGUAAUGACAUAGCCAAGUUCGGUUCGGCAGCUUUGCCUAGUUCGACCAAGUUAAUAAAAAUCAUUGUUGUUUUAAUAUUUUUAAAUAAAAAUAUUAAAUUAACAUUGUUUUUAAAAUAAUAUUUCUUUUAAAAAAAUUCAAAUUAAACUUUUACCAAGUCAAUCGCUUUUAAAGUUCACUAACCAUUUCUUUUGACCCAUCCUUAAUCAGCUUUCACAAUUGUUUAGAAGCUCGAACAAGCCGACAAGUCACCAUGAUAACUCACUGGACUUUAUUGUUCCCAACGACAACACACACGCAACUUGCUAGUAUCCCCUAUAAUUGAUAGGUGAUCAUAUAUUUAAUAAACGACAACACACACGCAACUUGCUAGUAUCCCCUAUAAUUGAUAGGUGAUCAUAUAUUUAAUAAAAAUAUUUUAAAAAAUAGCUAAAUCAUUGUAGCUACACAAAAAAAACAGGAUUAACAGAAAUAGUGUUUUUUUUUUCAAUCUCACCCUCAUCUUCUAGCAGUUAAUUUUUUUAUUUAGUUUUUUUUAAAAAAUUAUCAUUCAAAAAUAAAUUAUGUUAAAAAUUAUGCUACAUAAUUUUUAUCAAUGUUUUUCGUUGGUUUAUAUACCAAUCUUAUUAAUUUUGUUUUGUUUUUCCCUCUCAAACUCAAUCUUUAAUAUUAGAUUUGUUAAAAGUGAUACUUCAUAAUUGUUUUUGAUUUAUUUUCUAUAAAUUUAUCAUAAUCUCAUUACUUAGAUAAGUGAUUUAACAAAUUAGUUGAUUCAAGUUAUUUUUUUGCUAUUUGUUCUAAUUGAUUUUUUUUAUUUCAUCUUUUAACAUUGAGUUUGUUAAAAAUUAAGCUAGUUUAGUAGUUUAAUAUGAGUUGAAUCGGGUAAUUUUUUUUUAAAAAAUUUCAAUAUUAACCUUCAAAAUUGGAUUGAUGAGAAAUUAACCUUUAUAAUUUAUUUUGAUUUUUUUAUAGAGUUAUCAUAGUCUUGCGACCCGAAUUAUACAUUUAAUAGAUUAAACCAAGAUGAUUCAAUAUAUUUUAUUAUCUCAAUAUUAAAAAAAACAUAUUUCAAUAAAUAAAUAUAUAUAUAUAUAUAAUAUAUCACAUUUUAAGUUUAUGAUUAAAAAUUAUUAAAAGAUAUGCUAAUCGGAUAUUUUUUUUCAUUAAAAAUAUUAAUCUCAACUACAAUACACAAUGACCAAUAACCCAUGAUACACACACACACACACACACACGAGGUCAACAAAUAUAAAUUUAUUCAUUUCUUGUUUUCGCUCUUUAGUUUCUUAACAUAAAGCACCGUACAUUGCGAAAUUCACAAGGAGACAAGAAGCCACACUCAAAUCAGAUUUUGCUUAACUUGUUCAAAGAUGGCAGAGAAGACAUCCAUUUGACCCUGAGGAAGUGCCAAGCCAAUCUCAACUCCUCCUCCCC
rnacentral:lncRNA from 1 species